rnacentral:SRP_RNA from 1 species
GACGGGCCUCCUCGCAUGGGAAGGUGCCCAACCGGGUCAGGUGGGGAACCAAGCAGCCCUUAGCGUCCGGACCAGUGCCGGGGUCAGGCUCGUCACC